CUUUUAUCCAAAGACUGUAAAGCUGUUUACAAAAAAAUGCUGAAAAAUCUAGGCCUCAAAGCAUCACUUCUUCAUCUACAAAAUAAAGGGAUGCUUUUCCAUUUGGAAAGUAUUUUAUGUAUUUGUAAAAUUAUUGAAAAAAGUGAGCAAUGUCUCAAUGCCUUUUGCCUCCACAAAGUUUUUGUGACCCUAAAGAAAAUGCUUGCAGAGUGGCUACUAUCUUAUGAAGAUUUAGCAGAUAGUCAUAUUCUGCGAUAUAAUGUUGUCCCCUCAGUGCUGUGAUGCCCUAAUUAUGUAGAGAGCUGUUGUGUCCACAGCCAGAUAUGUCCACAGAAAAAGGCUUUAAGCUUGACUGUAAAAAAUUUAACUUGUGAUCCUAUGUGUUACACGCAGUACCAGGCCUGAUUUUAUGAGACGUCUCCAGGCUAGACGAGCCUUUGCUGUGGUGAACUAACUAACCCCUUUGGGCAUGGAGAAGACAAAACGGUACUUCUAGCUCCAGCUUGCAAGCAGAUGUAUUAUGAGUCUUUACUGAACCAAAAAUUGAGCUACUGAUUCUAAACACCUGGGACAGAGUGCCUGGGAACUGAGAAUGCAAUGUAUCGAAUGGCUGAGCCACCUCUUCUUGAGAAGGCCCUCCAGGAGUCAGCUAACAGGCUCAGUAAUCCUUCUCCACUCUCAGAACUAUGGAGGAGCGAGGUGGAGCCUUGUACUUCUGAGAAAGGAUAUAAAGCUGCUGGCAUUUGCCCACCAUAAGGAACAAGGACCUGCUCACAGAAAAAAAAAAAAAAGAAGAAAAAAAAAAAAUCAAAAUGAAGAAUCUCAGAGGAGCCCCCCCGAGAGCUGAAAACUGACUUUCCCUGAUGUGGAAAAAAACAAAAAGUAGUUUACACCAUUUCAACAGAUCCCGAUUGCUCCAAGGUAAGCCUUGUUUAUUGAUAAUGUAAGUAGCUUAGUGUGUCUGCCACUGUGAAAUUCAAAGAGAAAGGGAAGUUUUAAAAGUAACAUGCCUGCCUAGAAAGUGUACUGUGACAUGUAGGGAGCUUGACUUCAGUCUGAUACAUUUUCAUGCUUUCCCUGCAAAUCGAAGCGCGUGGUCAUUAACGCAGUAAAUCACAGUAAUGUGUUAUGAUCUGAUCUGGCAUUUAUAAGGAAAUAGGGUGUCUAGCCCUGGCUGCCUCUCCUACAGGUCAUUUGUCCUAGUGGUAAAGAGAGUGGUUGUUCCCAAGGGAAGAGAAAGCUGCCCAUUAUGUCAGCUCACACCCUGGAAAAGGCUACUGAUUUCAGUGCAUCUGUUUGUGAUGUGCCCUCUAAACGGGGUCAGUGUUAUAACGGGUAGGAGAGAGCAGUUUCAGCCAUGAGUGAGCACUCAGAUAAAUGGUGUAACUAACUCUGUCAGAGAUGAAUAUAAAACGUACACAAGAUGGCUUCUUUUGUAUUUGCUUUUAAAAAAAGGAAACAGACGUAUAUAAUGAUAUUUUUUUUCAGUCAUUGAUUUAUAUGCCACACAGAUGAGAAGCAAUAUUCCUAUGAUGCCUUUAUCAGUAUUCUGAGAAGGACUGCUUUCAGGUUAAAGACUGAUAAGCAAUGCCAACUAUUGACAUUAUUGGAACAGCCCUAUCAGCUUUAAUUUUCUUUUGUUUUCCUGUUGCCAAGGAAAGGCGUUAGAGAGGAAAUUAUGAUCUCAAAUUGGUUAAUCGAGUGACGUGCACUUUUUUCCAUAAAUUGCCAUGCCUGAUCUUUAAAGCAGUAUACAAUCUCAUUGCCAAGCAAGCAAUGUACAGAAUGUAGCAGAAUUUACAAAUAUCAUGUGUCAUCAGUCUUUAGGCCAGUAAUUCUCAAACCAAGGUGAGCUGUCCACAGUGUCACAUUACGGAGUUAAAUGCACAAACUCGUUUGUCUUGUUUGCCUGUACUUUUGUAUGCACAGUUUUCUGAGCAUGCUAGAGACCGCUAGAGUGUGCUCAAUUAUAAGCCUGGUAGGAAGCUACACACACACAGUGGAGCACGGGGAGUGCUCAGGGUUGCUGGAAGUUUAUUCUUUCCAGUAAAUUAGGGAGCUUGUGCUCUUGUCAUCGUAGAUCAAAGUUAAUUGACCUCAUACCAUUAGCAUCAGCAUAGUUAAGGCAUGGAGUUUACGCAAAGAGCUGGAGAAUUUAAAACCGUAAAGUUUCAUUUUUACUAGUCUGUCUGUGCACAUAAAUUUUGGCUUUGCAUGAGUAGUGUUUGUGCAGGCUCAGAAGAUUUUAUGCAAAAAUUAGUUGUGCA
ensembl:lncRNA